CUGGAUGUUUCCAUCCACCACUACAAGGUCAGCUGGAGCUGGACAGCAGCUGGACACUCAUCCAUGACCAAGAGGAGGAAGACGGAGAGAACCAGGUGGAGCUGAGCAGCAUGAGGUCCAACAGGAAGUACAGUGUUGAGGUCCAAGGUGUGUCUCAGUGGGGACAAACGGAGCUCAAAGGUCCUCCAGCUGUCCUCCAUUUCAUCACCCAGAGGAAUCCUUCAGUUGAAUUCUACAAAUUUCACUGGGGACCUGAAAGCUGCACACCCAACCUUACCAAACCCAUAGAGAAGACCAGAACAAGGGUGAGUACUGAAUAUGAAACUCCACCACCAUCAACAGAAAUGUGAAAUCCAGAGCUGUGAAAAAUAUUUACUUCUGUACAAGGAUUGUGAUAAAAAGAAUAUUUUAAAGUCAAUUCAGACAUCAAGAAAGAUACUCAAUACUCGCUACCAUUUUGAUGUCAUGGCAACCCUUUUGAAGGCACAGGAUUGUUUCCAAUAAAAAGCAAGAAUUGUUUUUCAUUUUCCUCAUCAGCAAACUCCCCUCUCAAAGAAAGGGAUAUUUAAUUAGAGAAAACUGCACUUUUAUGCCCUCUCUCUGAUUUAGAAGAACAUUGUUAGUCUGCAAGGUCUGCUCUUCUCCUGUAAGUACAAAGUCGUUCUGCAGCCAGUCAGCUCAAAGAGUCGUCCUCCAGCAGAAAGCUCCAGUUUCUUCACUCCUUCCUGUUCCAGCAUCCAGGCUAAGAGCCCCAAACUCAUCCACUGUCCUGGAGAGAGGGGUAUAAUGUGUCUAUUAAUACAGAAAAAAAAGUAUACAGUCAGAAUCUAUUUUAACUCCUAAGUGAAAAAUUAAAAACGAAACGAGGAAUGUUCAGCAUUUUGUGAAGUUAUGCUUUUGAAAGUUAUGGUUUACAAAUAUGGAAAUACUUAAUCUUUUAACACCAAAGUAUCAGCAGGACUUUGAAUCAACACAUGGACAAGCUGAUCAUAUUAGAUCUGCAUAACUUAAACAAAGCUUUGCACAACUUUUUACCAAUAAAUUUACAACUUUUGGUAACAUUCCAUCUUUAUUCUAAUAAUAUUCUGACUUUUCUCAUAAUUAAAAAAAAAAUCUUAAUCUGGCCCUAUAAUUCCAUUGUACGCCAGAGUUUAUGAGUGGAGAAAUGUCUGUGUGAUGUUCACCAAACAUUCUGUUUGAUUUGUUCUUCCAGCUGAGCCACCAGAGUUCAUCCACAUGAAGGUUGUUAACCUGACAGCAUCGUUUGAAGCUCACCAUGACAAUGUGUCGGCCUUCUUUGGCUGGGAUUUGGCCCUGAGUCCUUCCAACCAGCAGCUUCUUGAUUACCAGGCAACAUGGAUGGAAGUCCUUUCGCCCAAACGCCACAGCAACAGGAAGUUACCUCACAGCCUGAUCUCUCAGUCUCAGAUCUUGCCUCCGCACUUUGAAAUGCCUUGGUGAUGAAAUGCGCU